rnacentral:rRNA from 1 species
AUUGAACGCUGGCGGCAUGCUUUACACAUGCAAGUCGAACGGUAACAGGGAGCUUGCUCCGCUGACGAGUGGCGAACGGGUGAGUAAUGCGUCGGAACGUGCCGAGUAGUGGGGGAUAACGCAUCGAAAGGUGUGCUAAUACCGCAUACGUACUGAGGUAGAAAGUGGGGGACCUUCGGGCCUCACGCUAUUCGAGCGGCCGACGUCUGAUUAGCUAGUUGGUGAGGUAAAGGCUCACCAAGGCGACGAUCAGUAGCGGGUCUGAGAGGAUGAUCCGCCACGCGGGGACUGAGACGGGGCCCAGACUCCUACGGGAGGCAGCAGUGGGGAAUUUUGGACAAUGGGCGCAAGCCUGAUCCAGCCAUGCCGCGUGUCUGAAGAAGGCCUUCGGGUUGUAAAGGACUUUUGUCCGGGAGCAAAUGCUGGUGGCUAACAUCCACCGGAGCUGAGAGUACCGGAAGAAUAAGCACCGGCUAACUACGUGCCAGCCGCCGCAGUAACAC